rnacentral:rRNA from 1 species
AUUGAACGCUGGCGGCAUGCCUUACACAUGCAAGUCGAACGGCAGCACGGGAGUAAUCCUGGUGGCGAGUGGCGAACGGGUGAGUAAUAUAUCGGAACGUGCCUAGUUGUGGGGGAUAACGCAGCGAAAGCUGUGCUAAUACCGCAUACGAUCUAUGGAUGAAAGCGGGGGAUCGCAAGACCCCGCGCAAUUAGAGCGGCCGAUAUCAGAUUAGCUAGUUGGUGGGGUAAAAGCCCACCAAGGCGACGAUCUGUAGCUGGUCUGAGAGGACGACCAGCCACACUGGAACUGAGACACGGUCCAGACUCCUACGGGAGGCAGCAGUGGGGAAUUUUGGACAAUGGGCGCAAGCCUGAUCCAGCAACGCCGCGUGCAGGAUGAAGGCCUUCGGGUUGUAAACUGCUUUUGUACGGAGCGAAAAGGUUCUUUUUAAUACAGAGAGCUCAUGACGGUACCGUAAGAAUAAGCACCGGCUAACUACGUGCCAGCAGCCGCCGUAAAAC